UACGGAGGAUCCGAGCGUUAUCCGGAUUUAUUGGGUUUAAAGGGAGCGUAGGCGGACGUUUAAGUCAGUUGUGAAAGUUUGCGGCUCAACCGUAAAAUUGCAGUUGAUACUGGACGUCUUGAGUGCAGUAUAGGUGGGCGGAAUUCGUGGUGUAGCGGUGAAAUGCUUAGAUAUCACGAAGAACUCCGAUUGCGAAGGCAGCUCACUGGAGUGUCACUGACGCUGAUGCUCGAAAGUGUGGGUAUCAAACAGG
rnacentral:rRNA from 1 species